rnacentral:rRNA from 1 species
UACGGGGGGGGCAAGCGUUGUUCGGAAUUACUGGCGUAAAGGGCUCGUAGGCGGCCAACUAAGUCAGACGUGAAAUCCCUCGGCUUAACCGGGGAACUGCGUCUGAUACUGGUUGGCUUGAAUCCGGGAGAGGGAUGUGGAAUUCCAGGUGUAGCGGUGAAAUGCGUAGAUAUCAGGAGGAACACCGGUGGCGAAGGCGGGUCUCUGGG